GGGAGCACGAUCGAGGCGCAGCAGAAUACAUGUAGCGCUGAGUCAUAUCGAGUUAAGGCACACUCUGAACUGACUUUAAGGGCAUCCCGAGUAGUGCCGCCGCGCUCCGGCUGUUGCAUUUCGUGUAGGGCUACUGACAGAAUGCGGUUUCCAGAUGGCACGAUGGCCUCGACUGGAAUAAACGCACACGACACCAAAGAUUGAGGAUCUGAUGUGCAUAUCUGCAGUUUAUGGAUACAUGUAAAAGACUCUGCAUCAAGUGCAAGUGAACGGUCCCACAGGCCCGGAGUCGAUCAUUCAAAUAGAUUCGCUGCACAAAUUUGUGACCAGAAAAGAUAUGCCACAUGAAAUGGCAUGCAAGGAAGUGUUGAAAAUAUUGCACAGUUAAUAAAACGCCUACGCUAUUAACAUGUGGGUUGAUGCACUCGUUAUGCAAAACGGAGCGCCGUCCACUUCUCUACUCUUGUGUCCUGUCUGCACGCCUCACCUCUGUUUUGCAUAAUGAAUCCUUACCAACUAGCUCAGC